GACGAACGCUGGCGGCGUGCUUAACACAUGCAAGUCGAACGGAAAGGCCCUGCUUUUGUGGGGUGCUCGAGUGGCGAACGGGUGAGUAACACGUGAGUAACCUGCCCUUGACUUUGGGAUAACUUCAGGAAACUGGGGCUAAUACCGGAUAGGAGCUCCUGCUGCAUGGUGGGGGUUGGAAAGUUUCGGCGGUUGGGGAUGGACUCGCGGCUUAUCAGCUUGUUGGUGUGGUAGUGGCUUACCAAGGCUUUGACGGGUAGCCGGCCUGAGAGGGUGAACGGCCACAUUGGGACUGAGAUACGGCCCAGAAUCCUACGGGAGGCAGCAGUGGGGAAUAUUGCACAAUGGGCGGAAGCCUGAUGCAGCAGCGCCGCGUGCGGGAUGACGGCCUUCGGGUUGUAAACCGCUUUCGCCUGUGACGAAGCGUGAGUGACGGUAAUGGGUAAAGAAGCACCGGCUAACUACGUG
rnacentral:rRNA from 1 species